rnacentral:tRNA from 1 species
UCCCCGGUGGUCCAGUGAUUAGGAUGCCGAGCUUUCACUGCUGAGGGCUCGGGUUCAAUUCCUGGCUGGGAAA